rnacentral:rRNA from 1 species
UAGGGAAUAUUGGACAAUGGGGGCAACCCUGAUCCAGCCAUGCCGCGUGAGUGAAGAAGGCCCUCGGGUUGUAAAGCUCUUUUGUCCGGAAAGAAAAGCUUCGGGUUAAUACCCCGGGGUUCUGACGGUACCGGAAGAAUAAGCACCGGCUAACUUCGUGCCAGCAGCCGCGGUAAUACGAAGGGUGCAAGCGUUACUCGGAAUUACUGGGCGUAAAGCGUGCGUAGGUGGUUGUUUAAGUCUGAUGUGAAAGCCCUGGGCUCAACCUGGGAAUGGCAUUGGAAACUGGGCAGCUAGAGUGCUGUAGAGGGUAGUGGAAUUCCCGGUGUAGCAGUGAAAUGCGUAGAGAUCGGGAGGAACAUCUGUGGCGAAGGCGACUGCCUGGACCAGCACUGACACUGAGGCACGAAAGCGUGGGGAGCAAACA